UAACACGUGGGUAACCUGCCUUAUAGUGGGGGAUAGCCUUUCGAAAGGAAGAUUAAUACCGCAUAAGAUUGUAGUAUCGCAUGAUAUAGCAAUUAAGGGAGCAAUUCGCUAUAAGAUGGACCCGCGUCGCAUUAGCUAGUUGGUGAGGUAAUGGCUCACCAAGGCGACGAUGCGUAGCCGACCUGAGAGGGUGAUCGGCCACAUUGGGACUGAGACACGGCCCAGACUCCUACGGGAGGCAGCAUG
rnacentral:rRNA from 1 species